CCGAGUGCUUGCACUCGUUGGAAAGAGGAGUGGCGGACGGGUGAGUAACACGUGGGUAACCUACCCAUCAGAGGGGGAUAACACUUGGAAACAGGUGCUAAUACCGCAUAACAGUUUAUGCCGCAUGGCAUAAGAGUGAAAGGCGCUUUCGGGUGUCGCUGAUGGAUGGACCCGCGGUGCAUUAACUAGUUGGUGAGGUAACGGCUCACCAAGGCCACGAUGCAUAGCCGACCUGAGAGGGUGAUCGGCCACACUGGGACUGAGACACGGCCCAGACUCCUACGGGAGGCAGCAGUAGGGAAUCUUCGGCAAUGGACGAAAGUCUGACCGAGCAACGCCGCGUGAGUGAAGAAGGUUUUCGGAUCGUAAAACUCUGUUGUUAGAGAAGAACAAGGACGUUAGUAACUGAACGUCCCCUGACGGUAUCUAACCAGAAAGCCACGGCUAACUACGUGCCAGCAGCCGCGGUAAUACGUAGGUGGCAAGCGUUGUCCGGAUUUAUUGGGCGUAAAGCGAGCGCAGGCGGUUUCUUAAGUCUGAUGUGAAAGCCCCCGGCUCAACCGGGGAGGGUCAUUGGAAACUGGGAGACUUGAGUGCAUAAGAGGAGAGUGGAAAUCCAUGGGU
rnacentral:rRNA from 1 species